rnacentral:rRNA from 1 species
AUGCGGUGGCAGGAGCAGCAGCUCGGUGACUCCAACGAGCCAUGGGCGGCGGACCCUGAAGGUAGGGCCGACGAAGACGGCAGCGACGGGCGAGGGGCACCUGCCAGACUACAGGCACCUUGCGGGCGGCAGCGCGAGGCAGCAGCGGCGACUCAUGGCCGGUUGGCCCAGCGGCUUGUAGUGGUGGCUCAAGGCCGUUUGGCAAGGAUGCCUGCAAUGGCGGCUCAAGGCCGGUCGGCGCGGGGCGGCUCUCCGCAAGGCUUCAAAGCUAACCACAAUUCCGAUCACAAUUGCUGGCUCUUCCACACUUUGACAAAGUGCAAGCGGCUCGACACCCUAGGAAAGAUCCCUCCAAGAACUCAACACCACCGUGCGCAGGCCCCAUGGUAG